UCAAGCGAACAAGUGCAUGUGGUGGAUGCCUUGGCGAUCACAGGCGAUGAAGGACGCGGUAGCCUGCGAAAAGCUUCGGGGAGCUGGCAAACAAGCUUUGAUCCGGAGAUGUCCGAAUGGGGAAACCCGGCCCGUAUGGGUCAUCCCACACUGAAUCCAUAGGUGUGGGAAGCGAACGCGGCGAACUGAAACAUCUAAGUAGCUGCAGGAACAGAAAUCAACCGAGAUUCCCAAAGUAGUGGCGAACGAAAUGGGAAGAGCCUUGCACUCUUUAGCAGGACUGUUAGCAAAACGGGAUGGAAAGCCCGGCCAUAGCAGGUGAUAGCCCUGUAUGCGAAAACAGACUUGUGGAACUAGGUGUGCGACAAGUAGGGCGGGACACGUGAAAUCCUGUCUGAAGAUGGGGGGACCAUCCUCCAAGGCUAAAUACUCGUGAUCGACCGAUAGUGAACCAGUACCGUGAGGGAAAGGCGAAAAGAACCCCGGGAGGGGAGUGAAAUAGAUCCUGAAACCGCAUGCAUACAAACAGUCGGAGCCUCGUAAGGGGUGACGGCGUACCUUUUGUAUAAUGGGUCAGCGACUUACAUUCAGUGGCAAGCUUAACCGAUUAGGGAAGGCGUAGCGAAAGCGAGUCCGAACAGGGCGUUGAGUCGCUGGGUGUAGACCCGAAACCAGAUGAUCUAUCCAUGGCCAGGUUGAAGGUGCGGUAACACGUACUGGAGGACCGAACCCACUAACGUUGAAAAGUUAGGGGAUGAGCUGUGGAUAGGGGUGAAAGGCUAAACAAAUCUGGAAAUAGCUGGUUCUCUCCGAAAACUAUUUAGGUAGUGCCUCGUGUCUCACCUUCGGGGGUAGAGCACUGUCAUGGUUGGGGGGUCUAUUGCUGAUUACCCCGCCAUAGCAAACUCCGAAUACCGAAGAGUGCAAUCACGGGAGACAGACAUCGGGUGCUAACGUCCGGUGUCAAGAGGGAAACAACCCAGACCGCCAGCUAAGGUCCCAAAGAUUGGCUAAGUGGGAAACGAAGUGGGAAGGCUAAAACAGUCAGGAGGUUGGCUUAGAAGCAGCCACCCUUUAAAGAAAGCGUAAUAGCUCACUGAUCGAGUCGUCCUGCGCGGAAGAUGUAACGGGGCUAAGCCAGUCACCGAAGCUGCGGACGCACGCAAGUGCGUGGUAGGAGAGCGUUCUGUAAGCCUGUGAAGGUGUCUUGUAAAGGAUGCUGGAGGUAUCAGAAGUGCGAAUGCUGACAUGAGUAGCGAUAAAGGGGGUGAAAGGCCCCCUCGCCGUAAGCCCAAGGUUUCCUACGCAACGUUCAUCGGCGUAGGGUGAGUCGGCCCCUAAGGCGAGGCAGAGAUGCGUAGCUGAUGGGAAGCAGGUUAAUAUUCCUGCACCGUCGUAUGAUGCGAUGGGGGGACGGAUCGCGGAAGGUUGUCCGGGUGUUGGAAGUCCCGGUCCCUGCAUUGGAGAAGGCGCUCAGGCAAAUCCGGGCGCGGGAUUCAAGAGUGUGGGGCGAGCGGCCUAGUGCUGCGAAGCAAUUGGAAGUGGUUCCAAGAAAAGCCUCUAAGCUUCAGUCAUACGAGACCGUACCGCAAACCGACACAGGUGGGCGAGAUGAGUAUUCUAAGGCGCUUGAGAGAACUCGGGAGAAGGAACUCGGCAAAUUGGUACCGUAACUUCGGGAUAAGGUACGCCCUGGUAGCUUGACUGGCCUGCGCCAGAAGGGUGAAGGGGUUGCAAUAAAAUGGUGGCUGCGACUGUUUAAUAAAAACACAGCACUCUGCAAACACGAAAGUGGACGUAUAGGGUGUGACGCCUGCCCGGUGCCGGAAGAUUAAAUGAUGGGGUGCAAGCUCUUGAUUGAAGUCCCGGUAAACGGCGGCCGUAACUAUAACGGUCCUAAGGUAGCGAAAUUCCUUGUCGGGUAAGUUCCGACCUGCACGAAUGGCGUAACGAUGGCCACACUGUCUCCUCCCGAGACUCAGCGAAGUUGAAGUGUUUGUGAUGAUGCAAUCUCCCCGCGGCUAGACGGAAAGACCCCAUGAACCUUUACUGUAGCUUUGCAUUGGACUUUGAACCGAUCUGUGUAGGAUAGGUGGGAGGCUUUGAAGCGUGGACGCUAGUCUACGUGGAGCCGUCCUUGAAAUACCACCCUGGUUUGUUUGAGGUUCUAACCUUGGCCCGUGAAUCCGGGUCGGGGACAGUGCAUGGUAGGCAGUUUGACUGGGGCGGUCUCCUCCCAAAGUGUAACGGAGGAGUUCGAAGGUACGCUUGGUACGGUCGGACAUCGUACCUAAAGUGCAAUGGCAAAAGCGUGCUUAACUGCGAGACCGACAAGUCGAGCAGGUGCGAAAGCAGGACAUAGUGAUCCGGUGGUUCUGAAUGGAAGGGCCAUCGCUCAACGGAUAAAAGGUACUCUGGGGAUAACAGGCUGAUACCGCCCAAGAGUUCAUAUCGACGGCGGUGUUUGGCACCUCGAUGUCGGCUCAUCUCAUCCUGGGGCUGUAGCCGGUCCCAAGGGUAUGGCUGUUCGCCAUUUAAAGAGGUACGUGAGCUGGGUUUAAAACGUCGUGAGACAGUUUGGUCCCUAUCUGCCGUGGGCGUUGGAAUCUUGACGGGGGCUGCUCCUAGUACGAGAGGACCGGAGUGGACGUACCGCUGGUGUACCUGUUGUCUCGCCAGAGGCAUCGCAGGGUAGCUAUGUACGGAAGAGAUAACCGCUGAAAGCAUCUAAGCGGGAAACUCGCCUGAAGAUGAGGAUUCCCUGGCGGCUUGACCGCCUUGAAGGGUCGUUCGAGACCAGGACGUUGAUAGGCUGGGUGUGGAAGCGCAGUAAUGCGUUAAGCUAACCAGUACUAAUUGCCCGUAAGGCUUGAUCCU
rnacentral:rRNA from 1 species